UUCAAACAUUAAUAUUUUAAGAGUCCCUCAAGUUUUGAAUUAACGAGAGUCGACUGUAUAUAUAUUGUAACUAAAUCUAUUUUAUUUUUGGAUCCAGUACAAGCAUAUAACACGAGAAGAAAUAAGACAAACGCAGUUAACGUAAGCAAGUAUGACGAAAAUGUUGAGAAAAUACAGCCGUGUCUAAAAGAAAAAAUCAAAAUACAAAAAAAUGUCUUAGAAACAAUUUGCAGAAAAAGGAACGGCAAUAUGCGUAGCUUACCAGCAAUAUAGUUCACGCUAGCGCCGAGCAUCGACGUAAAAAUAGUACCAUAAGUAGUGCCGUUUUUGAUAAAGAUAUCAAUCACGUAGUUACCGAAAAGAGUUAGUUAUAUUAUUGAUACUACAAAUAGUCCUGAAUAUUAUGUAAACACCGAAGAUCAAAAAACAUCUUUCAAUGUGCCGGAAAGUGAUGACGAUGCUGACUUUUGUGAUUCAAGCGAUAACCUUUAUGUACCAGAAACCACUGACGAAUCUGAUAAUGACUUAGAUAUUUGUGAUGAGACCUCAGCUACCAGCAACUCUAAGCAGAACCAUGAAGUUUCAUUUGAAAUUCACGAUGAAGCUACCAAAAACAAACAAACUGAAGGUCUUCUACCGAAGAAAAGGUAGGGGAUGAAAAGAAGAGGAUAUGACAAAGGGAUUGUUGUUUUUACUGUGAAAAUUUAAUUUUAAUUUCGCUAGACACGUUAUAAGAAAUCAUUCUAAUGAACUGGAAGUUCAAAAGAUGUUAUCGAUACCAAAAAAUAACUUGUCUCAAUACCAAUUCAGGAGUUGCCUGCCACCCGGCCAACCUCUAGAAACGCCACAGCACCUUAAGAGGGUAAGGGUGCUCGCUUCUGUGGUAACGAAACACCCAAGGUGUGUAUUCUGGUACUUUUAAAUAUAUUUAGGUUUUUCAACAGCAAAACAGUAUCUCUAGCUUUGUUUUCCAAUCAGAAAUGUGGAGAACGGACGUUCUGUCCCCGACCAGGAGGGACCAGGCUUCCGGUGCCAUCAUCAUCUGCCCUGUAACUAUAUUAUUUAAUAAUAUAACCUACUUUAUAAAUAAAACUAAAUUUUUCAGCCAUUAAAUUUAUAUUCAAUAAUUAUUGCUUAGUCAAAGAAAAAGAAGUUGCGAAAUCAAAGAAAAACUAGAAUUUUGAGAUAGAUGCGCCUUACUUGAUUUUUUUAUUUUAUUUUGUUCUCAUUCAUUUCUUAAAUCAAUUUUUUUAUAGACACUUAUUAUAGCAGUAGCAGGGCAAGCACCUCGGCCACCGGGCGGCCUGUGUUAAGUAUUUAUGAAACAUAUUUUUAUACGUUAUUUUAUUUUUCAGAAGUCCGGACCGCACUCCAACAGCUCGUCGACAACUGUAUUUUCAUCUCUGUACACUACCAAUAUAUAAUAUAACCAUAUAAAAUAAUUACUAGCAUGUUUGCCAAAAAAUGUACUGGAACAUGUGGACAUUUUAUUUUAUCAUAUACGUUAGUUUCUUUAAUAAAUAUAUAAUAUUACAUUCAGCAAGCGUUUUAAUUUUUUUUUAUUCGAUAAUAAAAGUUGAAUCUGAGUACCCCAUAUUAUUUACAAUAGAACUCUCAAGUGUACUUUAAGAAAUUACAUGAAGAAAUAUAUCUUCUUGUUAAAUCUAAUUGGAAUUAUACAAAAUUCCAAUUAGAUUUAGAGAAAAUAAGAUUUUUCUAGACCUAGGUCUCAUUCUCGCCCGGUCUGUUGAUUGUCCAAAUUUUGGAUCCGCAGAUGGGGUCAAAUGUCAUGUCAACAGGCGAAACUGCAACUGCUCAUUCUCGAUCCUGCGGACAGAAUGGAAAGCAGUCGACGUCGCCCCAAACACGUCAUUUCGGAUCCUCCCGAUCCACUAACGGUGCU